UAGCCGUAAACGAUACUCGCUAGGUGUCGGCCACGGUGCGACCGUUGUCGGUGCCGUAGGGAAGCCGUGAAGCGAGCCACCUGGGAAGUACGGCCGCAAGGCUGAAACUUAAAGGAAUUGGCGGGGGGAGCACCACAACGGGUGGAGCUUGCGGUUUAAUUGGAUUCAACGCCGGAAAUCUUACCGGGACCGACAGCAACAUGGAGGCCAGGCUGAAGACUUUGCCGGAUUAGCUGAGAGGAGGUGCAUGGCGUAGUCGUGU
rnacentral:rRNA from 1 species